ACGGCCCUGAAUCAAGGCCGACAGCUUCCUGACACUGUUGGUUUCAACAGGAGCCUAAAGAGAUGUCUUUCUAUGGUCUGUUGGCCAUUUCAGAAUUUGGGCAGUAAAAUGGUCAUUCAUUAGAAAGAAACAGCU
ensembl:snoRNA